GGAGAAGGAAAUGGCAACCCACUCCAGUAAUCUUGCUUGGAAAAUUCUACAGACAGAGUAGCCCAGUGGACUAUAGUCCAUGGGGUCGAAAAGAGUCGGACAUGACUGAGCAACUGAACACAUGCAUGAUGAUGAAAGGAAUGUUGAUUUUCCAGGCUUGAUUUCCACUGGUUCAUUUUCAACAGCUGUGGAUCAGAGAUGAAGUUUUCUAGAUGAUCAUGGAAUCUUAGCACCAGCAAAGGCUCUGUGAGGGUCCGUCUGUCCACCUCUCUGGCUUCUGAAGACAAGAGGAGCCCCAAAUGGUUGCUUCCUGACACUCAGUUGAGAGUCAAAGAAGGAGCUGUUUUGAAAAUGUGCCUAGUUCCCAUCUAAGCAAAAGCAACUCAAAGGUUUAGAGUGAGUGAUGGAAAGGAAACGGACAAGAAAAGGGCAGAACCUGAAUUUCAGUCCCAACCUAAACCCUGCUUCACUCUGAGACUAUCCACCAGGAAUUUAAUAGGAUCUUCAUUUUUUCAUCUAAUACAUACAUCAAUUUCCAGACUCCCCUCCAGCUCGCAGCCAAUCAAAAUCUUGAACCAAGAGGCUCUGUCUCCAUAAGCUCCAUCCAUAGCACUAAUAGUCUCCACAACACCAUGGAGAUUUACAAAUGUACAUGAGAAGCCCAUAACAGAUUCUAAACUUCUACGGGUCAAAUGCCAGCUCUGUAGUUUCCAUUGUUUAUAACCUUUUAUGUAACUC
ensembl:lncRNA